rnacentral:rRNA from 1 species
GAUGAACGCUGGCGGCGCGCCUAACACAUGCAAGUCGAACGAUUAAAGCACCUUCGGGUGUGUAUAAAGUGGCGAACGGCUGAGUAACACGUGGGCAACCUGCCCCUUUCAUUGGGAUAGCCACGGGAAACCGUGGAUAAUACCGAGUACUUCGAGACUUCCGCAUGGAAGACUCGAGAAAGCUCCGGCGGAGAGGGAUGGGCCCGCGGCCUGUUAGCUUGUUGGUGGGGUAACGGCCUACCAAGGCAAUGAUGGGUAGCUGGGUUGAGAGACCGACCAGCCAGAUUGGGACUGAGACACGGCCCAGACUCCUACGGGAGGCAGCAGUGGGGAAUCUUGCACAAUGGGCGAAAGCCUGAUGCAGCGACGCCGCGUGCGGGAUGAAGGCCUUCGGGUUGUAAACCGCUUUCAGCAGGGACGAGGCGAAAGUGACGGUACCUGCAGAAGAAGCCCCGGCUAACUACGUG